UGGGGGAUAUUGCACAAUGGAGGAAACUCUGAUGCAGCAACGCCGCGUGAGGGAAGAAGGUUUUCGGAUUGUAAACCUCUGUUUUUAGUGAAGAAACAAAUGACGGUAGCUAAAGAGGAAGCCACGGCUAACUACGUGCCAGCAGCCGCGGUAAUACGUAGGUGGCAAGCGUUGUCCGGAAUUACUGGGUGUAAAGGGUGCGCAGGCGGGAUUGCAAGUUGGAUGUGAAAUACCGGGGCUUAACCCCGGAGCUGCAUCCAAAACUGUAGUUCUUGAGUGGAGUAGAGGUAAGCGGAAUUCCGAGUGUAGCGGUGAAAUGCGUAGAUAUUCGGAGGAACACCAGUGGCGAAGGCGGCUUACUGGGCUCUAACUGACGCUGAGGCACGAAAGCAUGGGUAGC
rnacentral:rRNA from 1 species